GCCCCCAUCGUCUAGAGGCCUAGGACGCCGGGUUCUCAGCCCGGUAACCGGGGUUCGACUCCCCGUGGGGGUG
rnacentral:tRNA from 1 species